AUGCACAAGGAAUGCACUGUCCUGUGCUCUGUGGGGUCACAAUACAAAACAAUUGCAUUUUAUGGAAGAAGUGCAUUCCCAAGUGCUGAUGGAAUUCAAGGCUAAACUUGACGAAGGAUGGCAGGUGGCUUGAGGCAAUGGACAAAGCGGCCCAUCUUGUCCGCCAGAGCCAUGUCUGGGAAGAUGUUACUCUGCACAACAGUAGCCUCCCACCUCUGGCUAUCAAGAACCCAGGGUGUCUGGGUCUUCUGCACCAGCUGGAUAUAAACACGGACAUGUGGGUCCUGCACUAUUGCAUCUUGAAAGGACGGUUGCUUGUAUUUCUAUGAUAACAAUCGCUCUACCCAAGCCUCAGGUGGUCUAUAUCUGCAAGGAUAUAGGGUGAGUGAACAGACCCUUAGUUCCAAACAAUUAGUAAUUGAACUCUAGCCUCCAUCCAAAGAGUUCAAGACUUUCUGUUUCUGUGCGGAAAAUGAAAUAGAAAACCAACGCUCGAUUACAGCUCUGAAAGCAUUUAUCAAAAAAAUGGCUUCCUUUGCAUUAGGCUAUUCAAGACUUUAUGAAUUGACCUCUAGGACAAGCCAAAAUGCGAAAGAGACCCUAACUCUUAAAAGGAUCUACAAACUCAUCACCAACCUGUAGAAACAAACAAAAUGUCUAUCAUUAUAUAACUUUUCAAAUGAAUGUUCUUCCAAUGUAUUAAAACUAUGUGAUGAGAUU
rnacentral:sRNA from 1 species